UACGAAGGGGGCGAGCGUUGUUCGGAAUUAGCUGGGCGUAAAGGGCGCGCAGGCGGCCUUAGAAGUCAGAUGUGAAAGCCCCGGGCUCAACCUGGGAAUGGCAUUUGAUACUCUGAGGCUGGAGUACGGGAGAGGAGAGUGGAAUUCCCAGUGUAGAGGUGAAAUUCGUAGAUAUUGGGAAGAACACCGGUGGCGAAGGCGGCUCUCUGGACCGUAACUGACGCUGAGGCGCGAAAGCGUGGGGAGCAAACAGG
rnacentral:rRNA from 1 species